GCGCAGCUAACGCAUUAAACAUUCCGCCUGGGGAGUCGGUCGCAAGAUUAAAACUCAAAGGAAUGACGGGGGCCCGCACAAGCGGAGCAUGUGGUUUAAUUCGAAGCAACGCGCAGAACCUUACCAGCCCUUGACAUCCCGGUCGCGGAUUACAGAGAUGUUUUCUUCAGUUGGUGGACCGGAGACAGGUGCUGCAUGGCUGUCGUCAGCUCGUGUCGUGAGAUGUUGGGUUAAGUCCCGCAACGAGCGCAACCCUCCCCUUAGUUGCCAGCAUUCAGUUGGGCACUCUAAGGGGACUGCCGGUGAUAAGCCGAGAGGAAGGUGGGGAUGACGUCAAGUCCUCAUGGCCCUUACGGGCUGGGCUACACACGUGCUACAAUGGUGGUGACAGUGGGCAGCGAGCACGCGAGUGUGAGCUAAUCUCAAAAGCCAUUCAGUCGGAUUCGGUUGGAACUGAUUCCGAGACCUAAUGAGAGUG
rnacentral:rRNA from 1 species